UCCCUGCCCUUUGUACACACCGCCCGUCGCUACUACCGAUUGAAUGUUUUAGUGAGGUCUCCGGACUGGCGCGCGGAGCUCCUUCGGGAACGCCGAUGCCGUCGGAAAGAUGACCAAACUUGAAUAUUUAGAGGAAGUAAAAGUCGUAACAAGGUUGCUGUAGGUGAACCUGCAGCAGGAUCAUUA
rnacentral:rRNA from 1 species